CUCACGAACAUUCUCCCCAAAAUCUCAGCCCUCCAACCUAGCUCUCUCUGCAUCGGCCGGCGGCCGGCUGCGCCCCAAAUCCCUCGCCGUCGGCUGCGCCCCCAAAUCCCUCGCCUAUUCCAUUCUCUCGUUCGCCCCCUCCGCCCCCAAAUCCCUUGCCUCUUCCAUCCUCUCGUCCACCCCCUCCGCCUGAUUCGCUGGUCAGUAGCCCAACGACCUGCUGCCUCCGAAGUGUUGCCGGCAAAGCUUCCCGCGGCGUCCGGAAGAGGGUCGUCGUCAACGACCCCGUGGCCGCCGUCACUCGACCACUGCAUCCUUCCCUGAGCGGCGCCCUUUCCAAUCUAGGUUACAGGACUUCUGAAGUUAUUUCACUUGUUGACGAGAAAGAAAACAUAGUUAAACUGCUGAUUGUCAAGGAUUAGAUCUUGGAUUUGCUAGUGGAUUUUGGGAGUUUCUUAGCCAGCUUGGUGACUCCAUAUUUUUCACUAUUUCAGCAAGUCUUUGGUAAGCAUUAAACUUUCAGCAUUACAUUUUUAUCUUAUGUGUACAUCUGUUUGCUUCCAAUUGCUAUAUAUGUAUUGUUGUUGCUAAAUAACUCAUAUUAAGUAUGAUAUGUUGAGGUUAAAUAAGCAAAUAGCUGAUCUAUUCCAUUUUCAACACAUAAUUUGUUAAAUGGCAGAUCGUG